UACGAAGGGGGCUAGCGUUGCUCGGAAUCACUGGGCGUAAAGGGUGCGUAGGCGGGUCUUUAAGUCAGGGGUGAAAUCCUGGAGCUCAACUCCAGAACUGCCUUUGAUACUGAGGAUCUUGAGUUCGGGAGAGGUGAGUGGAACUGCGAGUGUAGAGGUGAAAUUCGUAGAUAUUCGCAAGAACACCAGUGGCGAAGGCGGCAUCCUGGACCGGCAUUGACGCUGAGGCGCGAAAGCUAGGGUAGCAAACGGG
rnacentral:rRNA from 1 species